AUUCCAGCUCCAAUAGCGUAUAUUAAAGUUGUUGCAGUUAAAAAGCUCGUAGUUGAACCUUGGACAAAGUGCGCGUGGUCUACCGCAAGGUACGACUGCGGCGCUGCGUCUCUUUAGGGGGACUCGAUGCUUCGGUGUCGAGGUAACCCGUGUUACUGUGAAGAAAUUAGAGUGUUUAAAGCAGGCUAUCGCUUGAAUACAUCAGCAUGGAAUAACAAGUUGGACUUUGCUCCUACUUGUUGGUUUGAGGGGAAAAGUAAUGAUUAAUAGGGCCAGUUGGGGGCAUUAGUAUUCAGUAGUCAGAGGUGAAAUUCUUGGAUUUACUGAAGACUAACUAGUGCGAAAGCAUUUGCCAAGGAUGUUUUCAUCA
rnacentral:rRNA from 1 species